AAUUUAUUCAAAUAGUUUGAAUUUAUUCAAAUAGUUUGCUAUUAUUGGACAAUUAGUUUCUAAUUUUAUACUCUUCAAAAUGUUAUAAUAAUGAUCCUUGUAUUUAAAUCUUCUUGCACAUGUGUGGUUUGGGAUAAAUUCCCAGAAAUGGAAUUGCUACGUCAAAGGAUAUAAUGGCAAACCGCCCUACAAAUUUUGUGCCAAUUUGCACUUUAUUAGCAGUGUAUAAGGGGGUCUAUUUCUCCUCUGCUCUUGGAUAAUAUCAUUUAAGAUGAUAUGUCUUUGGAAUUUUCAUUCAAGAUGGCCUUGGAGCAAAUACGUUGAUUGCUUUGCCUUCUCAAGAUCCCAAUUAAGUAAUAGAAAAGUAAAAUGAUGGGAGAUACAAUUUUAUAACAAUAGGUGAGCAGAAAAAUUCCAUCAACAAACUAUUUCAGUGAAUUUUGGGGAAAAGAAAGGAGAGGGCUGGUGGCAACCAUGGGAUGGAAUAGAGAUACAAAGGAGCCACAGCCCAGAACGUGUGUGGAAGGGUGCCAGAGCCCCGCCUAGAGCUAGCUGUUCUGCAGAACCCUCAAGGAGCUCAGGCAUGGAGACUCAGUCACCCCGGAGGCAGGAGUGAGAUGUGCAGCUGAAGCAAGUGACUGUUUGAAGGUCUAUAUGUAGAACAUGCCAAAUAAUAGGAAUUUCAUAGAGAAAAAGAAGAAGUCAAUAGCAGGGGUCACAUAGAAGAACCUAUCCCACAAAUUCAGUAAGUCCAAAGAACAAAUACAAUGAAUNNAAAAAAAAAAAAAAAAAGAUACCCUGCGGCAUAUCAUGGAAUUUCAGAACUCUGAGGAUAAAAAAGAGAUCCUAAAACUUCCACAAUGUAGACUACUAGCCACAUGUUACUAAUCAUGGCAUAAGAUCCCUAAAACUUCCAGAGAAUGAAGACAAAAUAAUGUCACCUACUAAACAAAAGCAACCAGGCUGAUAUCAGAGUCCACUGGCAAUAUUAAUGUUAGAAAAAGUUCUGAUAAUGAUUUUUUUUUUUUUUACCUAGAACUCUGUAGCCAACCUCUGAACUGUC
ensembl:lncRNA